CAAAUACUCCCUCCGUCUCAAAAUUGGUGUCUUACAUUUAUCUAAAUAUGGAUGUAUCUAGUUAUGUUUUAGUGUCAUAGAUACACCCGUAUCUAGACAAAUCUAAAAUAAGAAUUUUAAGACGGAUAGAGUACUAC
rfam:Triticum aestivum genome assembly, contig: Triticum_aestivum_CS42_TGACv1_scaffold_407620_5BL